rnacentral:lncRNA from 11 species
CACUCCUCCAUAACUUUAAAAUAUUUUUUUAAAUCCAAAAGCAAACCUGAAUUUUGCCAUUUCAUAUAAGGGGAUGGGUGGGUAUCCUAGAACCAACCCCCAGUUGACUCCAAAAAUCUGUUUGUUUCGAUAUUCCCUUUUUAAUUUUAAUACUGCAAGUCAGCUUAUCAUUGAUUGCUAUGUUCCAAAUUUCCCUGUACCAUUCUUCUAAUUGGAUUUCCUUUUUUUCCAGUUUUUUGCUAUCAGCAGUUUUGCUGCAGUUAUCAAAUUAGAAACCAAUUCUUUCUCCUCUUGUGAGAGGAUACUAUCAUGCAUAAGUAAUAAUGCUGAUUUAGGUGUAUUCAUUAUCUCUAUUUUUAAUAUUUCUCUUAUUUCUUUAAAUAUCAUUUCCCAAAAUUUUUGUAUAAUUUUACAUGACCACCACAUAUGAAGAUAUGAUCCUAUUUCCUGACAGCCUCUCCAGUGCUGGAGAGGCUGUGACAAAUCAGUGCUGGAGAGACCGCAUUUGUUUCUAAGUGUUCGCAGACCACUUCCUUAAUGAUCUUUUCCAGAAUCUUGCCU